UCUGAGGACAAAGCUCUGGGCAAUGGAGACCGUGCAGGUGGAUGAGCAACCCAGAAAGGUGAAGAAGGAAGAAGAGAACUGUGUGGGUGCAGACAGUGUUACUGCCUGCUCCUGGACCGCUUCUCCACGCCUCGUAGUUGCCAGCCUUAAGUUGGGAUGAAUGGUACCAAAGGAUACAAGGAAAAUAUUAACGCUGACCAAGUCUUCAGGAGAACAGUGCCACUAGAUUCCAGGAAUCCCUUGAGAGGUUUACAAGGAACACAUGCUCUGAAUACACCAUUGUUCGUCCCUGGGAGCCAGUGGGUGAAGGGUGAUUUAUAGGAAAGGAGGAGAGCACUAAAGCAUGUCGACAACAUCAUUUAUUUUGGGUUCUUUGGUUGUCUUCACCAUCCUGAUCUGACGUGAGAUCUGCUAUCCUUGGAGGAAAAGAAUUUGAACUUGGAAAAUAUCCAGAGGGGGCAGGCUGGCAAUGCCUUUACUUUCUUUCCAGGACUGGUUCUUGUCCAUGGCCUCAGGCAUAGCUGUCUGUUUUCCCAUCUGUAAAGUGGGAUAAUAACUCUGCUCUGACAGAGGUAUCAUGGGAAUAAAAGUGUUCACCACAU